rnacentral:rRNA from 1 species
GACGAACGUUGGCGGCGUGCUUAAUACAUGCAAGUCAACUGAAGCACCGGUAGCAAUACUGGUGUGGAGGUGGCGCACGGGUGAGUAACACGUAGGUAAUCUGCCUUCAGGUCUGACAUAACCCCGGGAAACCGGGGCUAAUAUCAGAUGAUGCAGCGGCUUGACAUCAAGACAGUUGUUAAAGCUUCGGUGCCUGAAGAUGAGCCUGCGUCUGAUUAGCUAGUUGGCGGAGUAAUGGCCCACCAAGGCUACGAUCAGUAGCUGGUCUGAGAGGAUGAUCAGCCACACUGGAACUGAGACACGGUCCAGACUCCUACGGGAGGCAGCAGUAAGGAAUAUUGCUCAAUGGGAGAAAUCCUGAAGCAGCAACGCCGCGUGAGGGAUGAAGGGUCUUUUG